UACGUAGGGUCCGAGCGUUGUCCGGAAUUACUGGGCGUAAAGAGCUCGUAGGUGGUUUGUCGCGUUGUUCGUGAAAACUCACAGCUCAACUGUGGGCGUGCGGGCGAUACGGGCAGACUUGAGUACUGCAGGGGAGACUGGAAUUCCUGGUGUAGUGGUGGAAUGCGCAGAUAUCAGGAGGAACACCGGUGGCGAAGGCGGGUCUCUGGGCAGUAACUGACGCUGAGGAGCGAAAGCGUGGGGAGCGAACAGG
rnacentral:rRNA from 1 species